rnacentral:rRNA from 1 species
UACGUAGGGGGCAAGCGUUGUCCGGAAUCAUUGGGCGUAAAGAGCGCGUAGGCGGUCCGGUAAGUCCGCUGUGAAAGUCAAGGGCUCAACCCUUGAAUGCCGGUGGAUACUGUCGGGCUAGAGUCCGGAAGAGGCGAGUGGAAUUCCUGGUGUAGCGGUGAAAUGCGCAGAUAUCAGGAGGAACACCAAUGGCGAAGGCAGCUCGCUGGGACGUUACUGACGCUGAGACGCGAAAGCGUGGGGAGCAAACAGG